GUCCGAUUAGCUCAGUUGGUAGAGCAUCUGACUUACAAGCAGAAGGUCGCAGGUUCGAGUCCUGUAUCGGGCU
rnacentral:tRNA from 1 species